AGUUUGAUCAUGGCUCAGAUUGAACGCUGGCGGCAUGCCUUACACAUGCAAGUCGAACGGUAACAGGUCUUCGGAUGCUGACGAGUGGCGAACGGGUGAGUAAUACAUCGGAACGUGCCCGAUCGUGGGGGAUAACGCAGCGAAAGCUGUGCUAAUACCGCAUACGAUCUACGGAUGAAAGCGGGGGACUCGCAAGGGCCUCGCGCGGACGGAGCGGCCGAUGGCAGAUUAGGUAGUUGGUGGGAUAAAAGCUUACCAAGCCGACGAUCUGUAGCUGGUCUGAGAGGACGACCAGCCACACUGGGACUGAGACACGGCCCAGACUCCUACGGGAGGCAGCAGUGGGGAAUUUUGGACAAUGGGCGCAAGCCUGAUCCAGCCAUGCCGCGUGAGUGAAGAAGGCCUUCGGGUUGUAAAGCUCUUUCGGCCGGGAAGAAAUCGCAUGGGUUAAUACCCUGUGUGGAUGACGGUACCGGAAUAAGAAGCACCGGCUAACUACGUG
rnacentral:rRNA from 1 species